UGAUUACGNGUACGGGGAUUAGGGUUCGAUUCCGGAGAGGGAGCCUGAGAAACGGCUACCACAUCCAAGGAAGGCAGCAGGCGCGCAAAUUACCCAAUCCCGACACGGGGAGGUAGUGACAAUAAAUAACAAUACGGGGCUCWUUCGGGUCUCGUAAUUGGAAUGAGUACAAUUUAAAUCUCUUAACGAGGAACAAUUGGAGGGCAAGUCUGGUGCCAGCAGCCGCGGUAAUUCCAGCUCCAAUAGCGUAUAUUAAAGUUGUUGCAGUUAAAAAGCUCGUAGUUGAACUUCGGGAUUUGUUUAUUGGUCAGGCUUCACUGUCUGUACUGGUAUAACGAAUUCCUACCUUCUGAUGAAUCUUCAUGCCAUUUACUUGGUGCGGAGGGGAAUCAGGACUGUUACUUUGAAAAAAUUAGAGUGUUUAAAGCAGGCUAUUGCUCGAAUACAUUAGCAUGGAAUAAUAAAAUAGGACGGUUGGUUUUAUUUUGUUGGUUUCUAGGAUCACCGUAAUGAUUAAUAGGGAUAGUUGGGGGCAUUAGUAUUCAAUUGUCAGAGGUGAAAUUCUUGGAUUUAUUGAAGACUAACUACUGCGAAAGCAUUUGCCAAGGAUGUUUUCAUUAAUCAAGAACGAAAGUUAGGGGAUCGAAGACGAUCAGAUACCGUCGUAGUCUUAACCAUAAACUAUGCCGACUAGGGAUCGGACGAAGUUAAUUUUUAAAUGACUCGUUCGGCACCUUACGGGAAACGA
rnacentral:rRNA from 1 species